rnacentral:lncRNA from 1 species
AAUUUUGUGUGUGUGUGAUGGAGUCAGGGUUUUGGAACUGUGACCUCUCUUUUUGUGUUUCAGAACUGGUCUCUCCUACUGUGGGUUUUUUUUAAAGAUUGGCACCUGAGCUAACAUCUGUUGCCAAUCUUUUUUUUUUUCCUUCUUCUUCUUCUCCCCAAAGCUCCCCCAGCACAUGGUUGUGUAUUCUAGUUGUGAGUGCCUAUGGUUGUGCUGUGUGGGACGUGCCUCAGCAUGGCUUGAUGAGGGUGCCAUGUCCGCGCACAGGAUCCGAACCAGCGAAACCCUGGGCUGCUGAAGUGGAGCGCGCGAACUUAACUGCUCGGCCACGGGGCUGGCCCCUGUGGCUUUUUCUUUUUACAAAGGUAUUCUUUUACAUUCAGACGUGGAGCACGAACUCUACCAGGCAGGAGCCAUUGGUAGAGAUGAUACGAGAACAAAGGCCCUCGAGAUCUAAUCACUCUCGAAUGCCAAGCUUCUGGCUGCUAGUGCUCUGCUGGAGUCCUUGUCCUUAUCCUCCGGAGCAAAUCAUCUAAUGGGAUCCCACCGGCCCCAAGGCUUUGUUGAAUGGAACCGUGAGUGAGAAUGUAAACUCUCGAGCCCAAGGCUUUCCACGGAAUUCCCUUUGGACUGGUUCAUUCUUUUUGCUCAACAUGAGAAAACAGCAGGAGUUAUUGGUUGGACUGCGUGAUGAGCCAGAUUGUCUGGGGGCAAGGCAGGCUGGGUAGGGGAGAGGAAACAACCCUAUGGACUGUGAUAAAGGAAUGUAUGAAGUUUUAUAAAAACAUAGAUAAAUAAU